rnacentral:rRNA from 1 species
AUUGAACGCUGGCGGCAGGCCUAACACAUGCAAGUCGAGCGGAGCGGCGGACGGGUGAGUAAUUCAUGGGAAUAUGCCUGGUCGUGAGGGAUGACAUACGGACACGGGCGCUAAGACAGAACCCUAUCAGAUGAGCCUAGGUCGGAUUGGAUAGUUGGGGGGGUAAGGGCCUACCAAGGCGACGAUCCGUCGCUGGUCUGAGAGGAUGAUAAGUCACACUGGAACUGAGACACGGUCCAGACUCCUACGGGAGGCAGCAGUGGGUAAUAUUGGACAAUGGGCGCAAGCCUGAUGCAGCCAUGCCGCGUGUGUGAAGAAGGUCUUCGGGUUGUAAAGUACUUUCAGUUGGGAGGCGUUACCCACAGAAGAAGCACCGGCUAACUCCGUGCCAGCAGCCGCGGUAAUAC